AAUAAAGUAAGCUAAAUUAAUAAGCUAGUGGGCUCAUACCCCAAAAAUGAAAACUUUUCCUUUAUUA
rnacentral:tRNA from 1 species